GUGCUCACUUUGGCAGCACAUAUACUUAAAUUGGAAUGAUACAAAGAAGAUUAGUGUGGCCCCUGCUCAAGGAUGACAUGCAAAUUGGUGAAGCAUUUCAUGUUUUU
ensembl:snRNA U6 U6 spliceosomal RNA